UACGUUAUAUGUAUUAUUCUCUAAUAUAUUAAAUUUCGGUUAACAAUGACUAUAUUGGGAAUUUACGAUCAAAGGUAUUAUAAUAAUAAUGAUUGCGUUCGGUUUCAAUAGUAUUGCGUUACCUCGUGUAGUAAUAAUUUGUGUACUUAAUAUUAAAUUUCACUUAACAGGUCAUUUUAAAUAGUUCUAUACUGUUUUUGAUACAUAAUCCGAGU